rnacentral:rRNA from 1 species
UCCCGGUUCGGAUCGGAGUCUGCAACUCGACUCCGUGAAGCCGGAUUCGCUAGUAAUCGCGCAUCAGCCACGGCGCGGUGAAUACGUUCCCGGGCCUUGUACACACCGCCCGUCAAGCCAUGGGAGCCGGGGGUACCUGAAGUAUGCGAACGCAAGGAGCGUCCUAGGGUAAGACUGGUGACCGGGGCUAAGUCGUAACAAGGUAGCCGUACCGGAAGGUGCGGCUGGAUUAUAUCUUUU